rnacentral:rRNA from 1 species
GACGAACGCUGGCGGCGUGCUUAACACAUGCAAGUCGAACGAAGAGCGAUGGAAGCUUGCUUCUAUCAAUCUUAGUGGCGGACGGGUGAGUCACGCGUAAUCAACCUGCCCUUCAGAGGGGGACAACAGUUGGAAACGACUGCUAAUACCGCAUACGAUCCAAUCUCGGCAUCGGGACGGGAGGAAAGGUGGCCUCUAUUUAUAAUGUGGCACUGGAGGAUGGGAUUGCGGCUGAUCAGCUAGAAGGUGGGGUAAUGGAGCACCAAGGCGAUGAUGAGUAGCCGGCGUGAGAGGGUGACCGGCCACAGUGGGACUGAGAUGCGGCCCGGACUCAUACGGGAGGCAGCAGUGGGGAAUAUUGCACAAUGGGCGGAGGCCUGAUGCAGCCCCGCCGCGUGCGGGAUGUCGGUCUUCGGGUUGGAAUGCUCUUUCGCCUGUGACGACGCGUGAGUGACGGUACCGGAUAAAGAAGCACCGGCUAACUACGUG